rfam:Macrostomum lignano unitig_20656, whole genome shotgun sequence.
GGGACCGUAGCCUAAUGAUUAGAGCGUCGGACUUAUGACUUGAAGGUCGGGGUUCGAUUCCUGAUCCCA